rnacentral:lncRNA from 1 species
CUUGGGCACGGUUUCGAGGCGGGGUUCCGAGGAGCCGGGGGUGGGGCCAGCUUGGAGCGGAUACAGCAAAAAGGAGAGAGAGACACAGAGUAGACAGACACAAGGGAGAAGUCCGUGUGAAGAUGGAGACGGAGAUUGGAAUGAUACAGCCACAAGCCAAGAAACAUCUGCGGCCAUCAGCAGCUGGAAGAGCUCUCACCAGAGGCUGAGCAGAUGCUGAUGCCAUGCUUCUUGAUUUUCCCAGCCAACAGAAUUGUGAAUUGAAUAAACCUCUCUUCUUUACAAAUUACCCAGUCUCAGGUAUCCUGUUAUGGCAACACAAAAUGGACUAAGACAGGAUGUCGCUAUCAAUCACGCUUCGACUGAGUACAGCCAAACCAGGAUACUCAGGGAAUUGGAACCUGUUAUCAGACUUCCAUUUAGUACAGACACAGCGCCAGGGGACUGAGCAUUCUUCGGCAACACCCUUUGGACCCCUUCUCUACACCAAUGCUGUGUGACCUGAAGGGCUGGGGACAUGAAGGAGCAGCUCAGCUAAGGUGACCCAGAUGGUUGGGCUCGGAGCUGGAAGAACACUGUGGUCUCCUACCUCCCAAUUCCUGCAUCUGUCCUGCUUGUAAGAGGCUUGCCAAGAACAGGAGCUCUUGUUUGUAGGUCUCUAGGGAUGGCCACCGCAGGGAGUGUGAUUUGAAGAUGGGUUCGGGGUGACAUUACAGGCCCCCUUUAGGCUCUGCUGGUUGCAGGCCAGCUCUCUGGGGUGCCUUUCUGAUGGCUGCUAUUUUAAAGGCAGAUAGGAUGACAUUAACAACUUUUAUCAUUCAACUAGCAAGGGCUCAGGACGGGCAGCCCCCUUCUGGGAAUGUGCCUAACUCCUGCCCCAGAAUGGAGGAGUCUCUGUGGCUCUAGGGGAGCUGGCCUUCUGUGGAGUCUGAGCAAUGUACUGCACAGGGAGAAGACGCUGCCAGCUGAUACCAGUGUCUCUAUGCAGAGACAUUUCCAGGACACCACGUUAAGCAGCAGAGACACAAGAAGUCAAGGCCCAUGUGCUCUGGUGUGGACGUGUGCCUCCUGUGCCUCAGUGGCAUCAUCUGUACCAUGGGAGGUGUGUAAUGAGGGGUGCAAUCACGACUGCAAGUGCACGUACAUAGUAGAUGCCCAGGAAGUGCCAGUCCCCAUCUCCUUCCCAGUUUCUUCAGAGCCUUCUGGAAGGCACUGGCAUAGCCCAGUCCUGAGGCAUUGCUUUUUCUUUCAUGGAUGAUCAGGAGCUUCUGUGAUUUCUUCCCCCUCACUCUUCAUUUUGCCAAGAUGUCGCCCAUAGUAACCUCAGCAGUGGAGCGGGGAUUCUGCACUGUUCCACUGCCCGGGGCUGCACAUCCACGUGAGCGGGGCCGACCCGUCCCAGAACGCUUUGCCCUUGGAAGGCAGCAUCACCUGCAGGGGCAAUGCUGUGGACAGCUCUGGCAUGUCCUCCAGGGCCCUGGCAUGGUCAGUGAGAAAAGGCCCCCAGGCGUGGGCUUCUCCCAUCAGUCAGGUUCAGAAGGCUUCCUGGGGUAAGUAGAGACGCUCCCUACCCAACUGAGUUGUUAAAAUGACAGGAGGGAGAGGGGAAGGUCUGGGCCUGUGGCACUGUGAUUUUUUUUUUCUUUCUUUCUUUUUUUUUUUUUUUGGAGACUCGUUGGGGUAGAAAUGAGGACAGGAAGAAGUACAAUCCGUCUGGGAUUGGUUUAUUUUUAUUGCUUUUUAAAACCAUGUGACUAAUUGGUGUUCAUUGAAAAAGAGAAAACAAAAAUAAGCCAAGAGAAGACAGCAAAAAUAGUCUGUUAACAUCUUGGCAAAUAUCCUUUUUCUCUGCAUAGAAACAGAGAAUACUUUUGUUUCACUUAUAAAAUGUUUCUUGCUGUACACAGCUUUAUAACCUGCUUUUUUCUUAAUGGAACAAUAUACUAGGACAUGUUUUCAGGCCAACAGAUAAAUAUACUUCACUUGCAUUGAUGCUAUUGGCA